CAGAGAAUAGUUUAUUUAAAAUAGUAAGUUUGGGGCUUACCGAAGAGCUUAUUUUUUCUGA
rnacentral:tRNA from 1 species